CCGAAGGAUUUAAUCUUUGCUUGUAUCUCCGAGUGUCCUUUUCUGGUUGAUCGGCCUCUCAGUCACUAAGAAUUCUACAAUAUAAAUUGGUUCAAGAGAAGUGGGAGAAAUUGCACAUUCUCUACAAGGUGCCCACCAUUUCAUCUUUGGUGACUUC